CGGUAGGUCAGCAUGCCCCGAAUUAUCCGGGCUACACGCGGGCUACAAUGGUCAGGACAAUGGGUAUCGACACCGAGAGGUGGAGGCAAUCUCCUAAACCUGUCCUUAGUUCGGAUUGUGGGCUGCAACUCGCCCACAUGAAGCUGGAAUCCGUAGUAAUCGCGUUUCAAAAUAGCGCGGUGAAUAUGUCCCUGCUCCUU
rnacentral:rRNA from 1 species